rnacentral:lncRNA from 1 species
GAUGAGUUAGUGGGUGCAGCGCACUAGCAUGGCACAUGUAUACAUAUGUAACUAACCUGCACAAUGUGCACAUGUACCCUAAAACUUAAAGUAUAAUUAAAAAAAAAAGAAAAAAAGAAAUUAGGGCAAAAUAUGUAUGAAUAAAAAUAAGGUAUUAAAUGUUUAAUGCUUGAAAAAAAAGAAAAAAUCUUAAAGACAGCUAGAGAGAAGGGGCAGGUCACUUACAGAAGGAACUCCAUCAGGCUAGCAGCAGACUUCUCAGCAGAAACUUUACAAGACAAAAUAUAUUGAGAGCCUAUUUUCAGAAAAUUUUUUGUUUUGCAGUUCAUCUUUUUAUUUAAUAAAAUCAGAAUAUGCACAGCACAUGCAGUGCUAGAACCUGAACUAAUACAAUAAGCAAUUACUAAAGCUACAGUGACUUGAGGUUCAAUCUUUACAUUCGGCAAGUUUAAAUCUUUACAUGAUUUUUGAAUCCUUAUUAACUGAAAAUAUUGCUUGCUGAUAAAACUGACUGCUCAAAUGCUAUUGCUGAAUCUACAAGUCACUGAUUACACCAAUACAACAAAGAUAACCACAUGUUUGAGGAUUGCAAUGUGCCAUUCACUGAAAAAAAAAAAAAACCACACACAUAACUAAACAAAAUUCACACAACAAACAUCUCAGAAUCUGGACACUUCGUAUCAAUGUUCUGAAGUGUUUAAUUAAUAUCUUAAGACAAGUGUAUCAAAACCUUGGCAAGAUUUAAUUUCAAGUCGCCAAUUUUGUUUUUACUAACAUCAGAAAGGUAUGGCUACACUGCCAACGCCAGGCCUGCUUAAUUUAACUUAAGAAUUUAAUAUGACUUAAUAUUAAAAGCUCACAUUACCACAAAAUACAUACUUUCAUGCAUACGGUGACAUUCAACAUUCAAUUGCCAGUGUUUAUGUACUGUCUUUUGGUCAAGUUUCUUUAAAAAAGAAAAAUGAAGAGGGAGGGAGAGAGAGAGAGAGAGAGAGGAAGAAAGAAAAGAAAAAAGAAAAAUUGAAAGGAAAGGAAAGAGGAAAGGAAAAUAAAAGAAAAGAUCAGGUCAAUAUCCCUGAUUAACGUUGAUGCAAAAAUCCUCAACAAAAUGUUAGCAAAUUAAAUCCAGCAGUGCUUUAUUCCUGGGAUACAAGGCUGGUUCAACAUGCACAAAUCAAUAAAUAUAGUGCCAAAAGUCAGUUUGAAUAUCCAAAACAAUUUUAAGCAAACAAACAACAUAAAAAAUGCCAGAGGCAUCACAUUACCUGACUUCAAACUAUAUUUGAAGGCUGCAGUAAUCAAAACAGCAUAGUAGUGAUACUAGCCCCUGGUAAUGACUAUUCUACGUUCUGUCUUUAUGAAUUUGACUACUCUAAGCAUAUUAGGCAGGUCUGCAUGUCUUAACAUAAAUGCCAUAAACUGGGUGGUUUAAACAACAUAAAUUUGGU